CAGUCCCCCGCCCUGUUUGGGCUUCUCUCAUCUUGUUACCCACAUUGAACUUCAUAGUCAGCUGUUUCAGGGAACAAAUGCCUGUCACCAUGACACCUUGUGCCCUUUCUCUUCUACUGCUCCCCACUCUUGGGUCUGCCCUCCCCCAGGAUGCUGGAAUUGGCUGGGUACCAGACAAGGCUUGGGAGGUGAGCCCAGCAGUCCCGAUGGGAGGCUUUGUGACUUCAGGCAGUGAGCCUCAAGUCUCUGAGGCUCAGUUUCCUUACUAAUAAAGGGAGAUCACCAGGAGCAAUCAUCUCCAGCAGCAGCAGCAUCCUCCAGGAGGGUCGUGAGAAUUAAAUGAGAUACAAUGAGAGCAUGACCUGCCAAAUGGUGCCAUGUCUGCACCCGGGAUCCAAACCAGUGAACCCCAGGCCACCAAAGUGGAACGUGCACACUUAACCUCUGUGCCACCAGGUCGGCCCCAAAAAUUGUCCUUCAAGGAUGGGAGGCUCGGAGCAGCUGCAGCCAUUUAGCGACCAUGAGGGGAAAACUUCUGAUGCGUGGAAGAGGCAGAACUGAGAGAAGAGAAACAAGGAAGAGGCCUUGAUGACCACGGAGAGCUGUCCGUGGUGACCAUCAACCUUCACACUUCUUAGGAGAGAUCAUAAAAUGUCUGCUUUGCUCAAACCACCACUGAGCAGCUGUUCUCUUACAGGAGGAACAGCCAAAUGCAUCUUCACUGAAAGGGCGUGGACACAGGGAUGCGAAACACAGGGCUCUGGCAGCAGCCGGGUUGAGAUCAGUCCCGGCUCCGCCACUUUCAGGCUGUGUGGCCUUAGGAGGUCCUGUUCUGAAAUCUCAGCUCCCCGCCUGUAAAAAUGAAGCUAACUGGGAUACCCACCUCACAGGGCUCCUGUGGGGGGAAACGAGAAGAGAAAAUUUAGGCAGGCAUUUUGCACACAGUGGUUGGUCCAUCUCAAAAUUCAAUUUGUUUAUUCAUCCAUGAAUUUAUUCAGCAGUAAUUCUUGAACAUCUACUAUGUACUUGGACAUAGUGUGGACUAAUCUAGAGUCAGAAGAUGUAGCUAUGAAAAAAUUAAUAAUAG
rnacentral:lncRNA from 1 species